rnacentral:rRNA from 1 species
UACAGAGGCCUCAAGCGUUGUUCGGAUUCAUUGGGCGUAAAGGGUGCGUAGGCGGCGCGGUAAGUCGGGUGUGAAAUCUUGGAGCUUAACUCCGAAACUGCAUUCGAUACUGCCGUGCUUGAGGACUGGAGAGGAGACUGGAAUUCACGGUGUAGCAGUGAAAUGCGUAGAUAUCGUGAGGAAGACCAGUGGCGAAGGCGGGUCUCUGGACAGUUCCUGACGCUGAGGCGCGAAGGCCAGGGGAGCAAACGGG